GACGUAGGGCGCGAGCGUUGUCCGGAUUUAUUGGGCGUAAAGAGCUCGUAGGCGGCUUGUCGCGUCGACUGUGAAAUCCCGCGGCUCAACUGCGGGUCUGCAGUCGAUACGGGCAGGCUAGAGUUCGGUAGGGGAGACUGGAAUUCCUGGUGUAGCGGUGAAAUGCGCAGAUAUCAGGAGGAACACCAAUAGCGAAGGCAGCUCGCUGGGACGGUACUGACGCUAAGGCGCGAAAGCGUGGGGAGCGAACAGG
rnacentral:rRNA from 1 species